UAUACGCAGAUGAUGUCGCGUGAAAGACUGGCCUCUCACCGUCGCUUACCGGUGCUUUUAGCGAUGCAGCACAUGUAAACCCUUACCACCACUUCGGGAGGCAAAUACUCUUAGGCAGUCAGGAAGAUGGAGCGUGCAGGCACUGUGCCCAGUUAGAUGACAGAGUUCACCUCGGGGAUAGAUCAAGGCUCUGCAUUCUACUCAAUAAAUGGAGGUUGUGACAAAGGAGGAGCUGAAGCAACUACAG